GGCAGGGGCAGGCAGGCGGCCGGUGACCGGGGGGACCCCCGCGGCCUGCCUGCUUUCACCCUCAUAUCCACCCAACGGAAAGCCGCCACCGCCUUUCUCUACCCGCCGCCUGGGGCGAACAUGCGGCCCGGCAGCCACAAGGUGUCAGCCGCGGGCCGGGCAGGUGAAUCUUUUGCAGGGCUGCUCUAAUAGCACACUUGAUCUCCAAAUGGAUGAUGAUCCCUGCCAUGUGAUACUUCUCAUUCCUGUGGGCAAUCCUUCAGGCUUCUGUUGUCCAGACUGUGAUUCCCUGAGGGGAAGCCACCACACAGGAUCCAGCAGCUCCAGCAAACCUGGGAUGAGUGUGCUGGAGGACUUUGCUAAUGUGAUCCAACAGCUCUUUCUGAAAAUCAAGUGACUGUAUUGUGUACCAGCAUGCAUCAUACAUAAAGUGAAUCGCCUUUUAUUGGUAGGAGAGAGGAAACAGAGUGAUUAACUUAUUCCUGAAGUAUGUGCUUAACUCACAGAUAAAAAUUAAGGUUUUUUUUUUUC